CGAUAAAGAAAUCUAUACAGUAUAACUAGUGUGGCUGCUCCCCAAGCGUAUCGCCCAACAUUGUCUAGGUCAUGAAGAAACGGUAGAUACAUCAACUUAACCUUGCAACCUGAUGUAUCAACCGCAAGCAUACUUCCAAUGAUCCACAUCAUGUAAAAACGAACCCUAUGCUGGACUUCAUACUCAGGGGUAUCAUCAGUAAUCAGAUUAAGUAACUUUAUAUGGCCAAUCAAUGAUGACAUUCUAAGCCUGCCCCCCGAAAAUUCAGUAUCAUCGGUGCUCAACCGAGAAAUGUCAUCAUCGAGGAACACCAUUCUUCAGCGCCCCUAGUAUCAUCCAACCCCGUCACAUGAUCUCCGUCAAUAGGUAACCCGUAUAAUACAACAAUAUCCUGCAGCGUGAUCGUAGCCUCACCAGUCCUAAGACGAAAAGUAUGUGUCUCUGGACGCCAUCUCUCCAUCAAUGAUGUUAUCAUAUCAUGAUCAAGUGUUGUGUAUCUAGCAGCCACAACACCAUAAAAUCCUGCCUGCAGCUAGUACCGACAUACCCGUGCUGCGGGCCGUGCAUGUAACGACUGUCUCUCUAUGUGUUUCCAAAACUCACCAUCGUACCAUCGGCACAUCAAUGCCUCACACGUGGCACUAUCCCAUAUCUUCUGAAUACGGUGGUCAGCUUGCCCCACAAGGAUACGGAAUCGAAAGGGCCCGGGUGCAAAGUAGGGACUUCCAUAUAGCC
rnacentral:lncRNA from 1 species